GGGGAAUAUUGGACAAUGGGGGCAAGCCUGAUCCAGCAAUGCCGCGUGUGUGAAGAAGGCCUUCGGGUUGUAAAGCACUUUCAAGUAGGGAGGAAAAGCU
rnacentral:rRNA from 1 species